rnacentral:miRNA from 1 species
AAUAAGUGAUUACCGAAAUU